rnacentral:rRNA from 1 species
AAAGAAACUAACAAGGAUUCCCCUAGUAACUGCGAGUGAAGCGGGAAAAGCUCAAAUUUAAAAUCUGGUGGUCUUUGGCCAUCCGAGUUGUAAUCUAGAGAAGUGUUACCCGCGUCGGACCGUGUACAAGUCUCCUGGAAUGGAGCGUCAUAGAGGGUGAGAAUCCCGUCUUUGACACGGACUACCGAGGCUUUGUGGUGCGCUCUCAACGAGUCGAGUUGUUUGGGAAUGCAGCUCAAAAUGGGUGGUAAAUUCCAUCUAAAGCUAAAUAUUGGCGAGAGACCGAUAGCGAACAAGUACCGUGAGGGAAAGAUGAAAAGAACUUUGGAAAGAGAGUUAAACAGUACGUGAAAUUGCUAAAAGGGAAACGCUUGAAGUCAGUCGCGUUGGCCGGAAAUCAGCCUUGCUUUUGCUGGGUGUACUUUCUGGUUGACGGGCCAGCAUCAGUUUUGACCGGUGGAAAAAGGUCAAGGGAAUGUGGCAUCUUCGGAUGUGUUAUAGCCCUUGGUCGUAUGCAUCGGUUGGGACUGAGGAACUCAGCACGCCGCAAGGCC